rnacentral:rRNA from 1 species
UACGGAGGGUGCAAGCGUUAUCCGGAUUUACUGGGUUUAAAGGGUGCGCAGGCGGAUAUGUAAGUCAGUGGUGAAAUCUCUAGGCUUAACCUGGAAAUUGCCGUUGAUACUAUAUAUCUUGAAUGCUGUGGAGGUAAGCGGAAUAUGUCAUGUAGCGGUGAAAUGCUUAGAUAUGACAUAGAACACCUAUUGCGAAGGCAGCUUACUACGCAGAUAUUGACGCUCGUGCACGAAAGCGUGGGGAUCAAACAGG